UACCAGCUCUCCGAGUGGUGUGGAUGUUUAUUGGGCCUAAAGCAUCCGUAGCUGGCUGGGCAAGUCCCCUGUUAAAUCCACCGAUUUAAUCGUUGGAGUGCGGGGGAUACUGUUCGGCUAGGGGACGGGAGAGGCAGACGGUAUUUUCGGGGUAGGGGUGAAAUCCUAUAAUCCCGGGAAGACCACCAGUGGCGAAGGCUGUCUGCUAGAACGCGCCCGACGGUGAGGGAUGAAAGCUGGGGGAGCGAACCGGAUUAGAUACCCGGGUAGUCCCAGCUGUAAACGAUGCGGGCUAGGUGUUGGGGUGGCUACGGGCCACUUCAGUGCCGCAGGAAAGCCAUUAAGCCCGCCGCCUGGGGAGUACGGCCGCAAGGCUGAAACUUAAAGGAAUUGGCGGGGGAGCACCACAAGGCGUGAAGCUUGCGGUUC
rnacentral:rRNA from 1 species